rnacentral:rRNA from 1 species
GUGUUCCUACGGGAGGCAGCAGUGGGGAAUUUUGGACAAUGGGCGCAAGCCUGAUCCAGCUAUUCCGCGUGUGGGAUGACGGCCCUCGGGUUGUAAACCACUUUAGUGGAGAACGAAAAGGAGCUAUCGAAUAAAUAGCUCUGCUGACGGUACUCUAAGAAUAAGCACCGGCUAACUACGUGCCAGCAGCCGCGGUAAUACGUAGGGUGCGAGCGUUAAUCGGAAUUACUGGGUGUAAAGGGUGCGCAGGCGGCUCUGCAAGUCAGGCGUGAAAGCUAGGGGCUCAACCCCUAAACUGCGCUUGA